rnacentral:rRNA from 1 species
AUUGAACGCUGGCGGCAUGCCUUACACAUGCAAGUCGAACGGCAGCACGGGGGCAACCCUGGUGGCGAGUGGCGAACGGGUGAGUAACACAUCGGAACGUACCCAGUUGUGGGGGAUAACCAGUCGAAAGACGGGCUAAUACCGCAUGAUCUGGCGACAGCAAAGCGGGGGAUCGGCAACGACCUCGCGCGAUUGGAGCGGCCGAUGUCCGAUUAGCUAGUUGGUGGGGAAAGGCCCACCAAGGCUUUUGAUCGGUAGCUGGUCUGAGAGGAUGAUCAGCCACACUGGGACUGAGACACGGCCCAGACUCCUACGGGAGGCAGCAGUGGGGAAUAUUGGACAAUGGGGGGCAACCCUGAUCCAGCGACGCCGCGUGUGUGAAGAAGGCCUGCGGGUUGUAAAGC